UCCCUCAAUACAAUAAACCAAGCCCCGCCUCCUAAAACCUGCCUCUCACAACCGCUCACUUCCGGAAGCAUUAACCAGAAAGGGAAACAGACAGAAGGUCAUGACUCAGCUUCAGCAGAGGGACAGAUGCAGCAUGCCAGAUUCUCUCCCUUAGUCCAAUGCCUCCCUUGGAGAUCUUAUAAGCUGCUGCCCAGGACCCCAGGCUGGAGCAAGAAGACAAACAGCUCCAGAGAAGGGUAGACAGCACUGGCAGGUCCAGCAGCUACAACUCAGGGGACAAAGGACUUAGCACAAGGCGACCAGCAACACCUUCCAGACAUGCAGGCACUUCGGAAAAGCCCAGUCCUCUGAACCUGCCAUUUUCCUGUACUCCCAAACUGAUGCCUGCUGAGAAGAAAAUGCCAGUCACAGAGCCAGCUGGUAGCACAAUGGUACCUCAAUACACUGCAAUGCUGGAUCCACAAAGGAAAGGUCUGGGGUUCACAUCCUAGGGCCUCCCUGCACACACCGGGCGCGUGGAUGUGCCCAUGAUCAUGGCUGGUUGAGGCUGAGGUUGGGUUGUGUCAUGAAGACCUUGUCGGGGGCAUCUCUCUUUCUCUCUUCCUCUCUCAAUAAAUAAAUACAUUUAA